rnacentral:sRNA from 1 species
GUCGUGAGAUGUUGGGUUAAGUCCCGCAACGAGCGCAACCCUUAUCCUAUGUUGCCAGCGGGUAAUGCCGGGGACUCGUAGGAGACUGCCGGGGUCAACUCGGAGGAAGGUGGGGAUGACGUCAAGUCUUCAUGCCCCUUAUGUCCAGGGCUGCAAACAUGCUACAAUGGCCGGUACAGAGGGCUGCUAUUCCGCGAGGAUGAGCGAACCCCAAAAAGCCGGUCUCAGUUCGGAUUGGAGUCUGCAACUCGACUCCAUGAAGUCGGAGUCGCUAGUAAUCCCGGAUCAGCAACGCCGGGGUGAAUACGUUCCCGGGCCUUGUACACACCGCCCGUCACACCACGAAAGUCGGUAACACCCGAAGCCAGUGGCCCAACCGCAAGGAGGGAGCUGUCGAAGGUGGGAUCGGUGAUUGGGGUGAAGUCGUAACAAGGUAGCCGUACCGGAAGGUGCGGCUGGAUCACCUCCUUUCUAAGGAGUUCCUGUCCGACCCCGAGUCACAUUCGUGCUUGUCACGUGUGUGCCGGGUACAUCGGAAACUCCCAGUUGAUCACUCGCUAGUUGGCACCUCGAGCUCGUCAAGAGUCGUAGGGCUUCGGUCCUCCUCUUCGCCGGCCUCGUUGUGUCUGACGACCUCUGUUCCGUUUUCUGGGCGCACCAUCGGCUUGCGCCGAGUGCGCCCAGCAGUCGGCUACGCCGACUGUAUGAACGGCUACGCCGGCGACUUCGUCGCCGACCUCUUUCCGUUCCGUGCAACCAAGCGCCUCGGCGACGGUUGCACGAGCCCUUUGAGAAUUCCAUAGCGAGCACGAGCAUCUUUGUUCUCCAAGCUAUGAAGAGCCAACGGUGGAUGCCUUGGCGCCUGAAGCCGAUGAAGGGCGUUGGUGGCUGCGAAAAGCCACGGGGAGCUGCCUACCAAGCUUUGAUCCGUGGAUGU